UACGUAGGGGGCUAGCGUUGUCCGGAAUCAUUGGGCGUAAAGCGCGUGUAGGCGGUCCGGUAAGUCCGCUGUGAAAGUCCAGGGCUCAACCCUGGAAUGCCGGUGGAUACUGUCGGGCUAGAGUUCGGAAGAGGCAAGUGGAAUUCCUGGUGUAGCGGUGGAAUGCGCAGAUAUCAGGAGGAACACCUAUAGCGAAGGCAGCUUGCUGGGACGACACUGACGCUAAGGCGCGAAAAGCGUGGGGAGCGAACAGG
rnacentral:rRNA from 1 species